rnacentral:lncRNA from 1 species
AUAGUAGUAACAUCAUUAAAAAAUGGACCAGCAAGUAAAUAAGCAUCUGAAGAUUCAACAAUUUCUGAACAGAAGGAAGAGCUAGCUACACCCCAAUAUGUUCCAAUGAAAUUAGGAUGAUUUUCUGAAACCAUUCCUUUUGCUGAAGGUAAAAUUGCAAUUGCAUAACCUGAUGCAUCUGCCAUAUCCAUGAAUGUGUCACAUGCUUUUGACUUUCGCAUCAUUGAACCACCUAUCAUUACUGGUUUUAUUGCCUUGUUUAAUAUCUUUGCUGCUGCCUCCACACCAAAUUCCAAACUCUGUUCGUUUGUUACUCUGAACAACACAAAAAUAUCAUAAUCAAUACUACAAAAUAUAGUUUUUAAGUUUAUCUGACUUAACAAAUAAGGCAGAGACGAGACUGACAAUCAACCUCUACAACCAGAAUAUUAACACAAACCUAUAAACGGACCGCUCUAAAAUUUUAUAUUUGUAAUUUAUGCCUAAAAUAAAUCCAUAUAGAAAUAAAUUAACUUAUCAGGUAAGCUUAUAGUGUGUAUUGCACUGGGAUUUCUAAAGACAAAAACAAAAUCCGAUGAUAUUCAAAUGAGAUUUUUCACAACUUAAAAAUUGUUUCUUAGUAUUAAAAAACAUACGGAUUUUGAUGGAUUUUUUAGUAGAAUGGAUUUUGUAAGCAUCACCACAUUCUGCAAUCACAGCAUUGUCACAAGACAACAUAUUUUGUAUGUGAUGAUAUAAAACAUUAAUCCUUAAUGGAUCCUUUGUCUUAGAAUGAAUUGGUAAACCAUCAGGGACGAAAAUUCUGCGAUAAUUCUGAAUUGAUGUGGUGUUGCGUUGGAGUCUUUUGGAAAGUGCUUUGAAAAAAUCUUUCAUUGAAAUGAAGUCAAAAGUAGGUCCAUUACCAAUAACAACUCUGUUUGGAAAAACAGUAAUUGAUUUUUCAUUUUUAAUUAAUAAUGUGUAUCCCAUAGUAGUAACAUCAUUAAAAAAUGGACCAGCAAGUAAAUAAGCAUCUGAAGAUUCAACAAUUUCUGAACAGAAGGAAGAGCUAGCUACACCCCAAUAUGUUCCAAUGAAAUUAGGAUGAUUUUCUGAAACCAUUCCUUUUGCUGAAGGUAAAAUUGCAAUUGCAUAACCUGAUGCAUCUGCCAUAUCCAUGAAUGUGUCACAUGCUUUUGACUUUCGCAUCAUUGAACCACCUAUCAUUACUGGUUUUAUUGCCUUGUUUAAUAUCUUUGCUGCUGCCUCCACACCAAAUUCCAAACUCUGUUCGUUUGUUACUC